GUCACCAACGGACAGUUUUGACACCCGUAUACCCAUAUUUCUACCAAAUACCUCUGAAACCUUUGUUGUGUUCAUCACACAGAUGAUGGACCACUCUACUUCCUUUUACAACAGGUGCCCAUACAGAUUCACAAAGUUCCAGUGUUGAGUUUCCAUGACCCCUAUUCAUCCACGACAGGAAAAGGAAUAGAGUUUACAGGACUUCCUGCACUGUCCCUGGUAGCAGUUUAUGAGGGAAUCAACCGCAGUAG